AGAGACUUGGCCCCCUACCCGCCCGGCUCUGGAUAUGAGGUCAUACUGAAUGAAGGUAGGCCCUAAUCCAAUGAUAUGUAUCUUUAUAAGAAGAGAAAAUACACACAGAGACACACACAGAGGAGAAGGCUAUGUGAAGCCAGAGGCAAAAACCGGAGAGAAGCAUCGGUAUGUCAAAGAAUGCCAAAGGCAGCCGGCAACCACAAGCUAAGAAAAGGCAAGGAAGGAUAUUCCCCAACAGCUUUCAUGGCCCUGCUGACACCUUGUUUUUGGAUGCCUAGCCUCCUGAACUUGAGAAAUAAAUUUCUGCUGUUUUCAACCACCCAGUUUGUGGUACUUUGCUAUGGCAGUUCUAGGAAAUUAAUACAGACACUAAAUAGAUAAAGAAUACUUUUGGCUUAUACUUCCAAUAGAGUACUAACAUUACAGUAAUAUACUGGUUCAAUAAAUGAACAAUUGUUUCAGUGCCUAUAGACCAAUUUUUGUAAAGUCUUCAAAAACACUUUGUUAUAAAGCACAGCUGGAUACUAGCUCUGCCAAAAUUAAUACAAUAAAUUGGUAUCACAUCAUGUUUUAA